GAUGAACGCUGACAGAAUGCUUAACACAUGCAAGUCUUUGACGAAGCUGUGCUUGCACAGCCUAGCCAAGGCGGACGGGUGAGUAACGCGUAAGGAACUUGCCCUGCAGUCAGGGAUAACAGACGGAAACGACUGAUAAGACCUGGUAAAGUCAGGCGGACUCAUGUCCAGCCUGAUGAAAAGAGAUGCUGCAGGAGAGCCUUGCGUCCUAUUAGCUUGUUGGUGGGGUAACGGCCCACCAAGGCGAUGAUAGGUAGCCGGCCUGAGAGGGUGGACGGCCACAAGGGGACUGAGAUACGGCCCUUACUCCUACGGGAGGCAGCAGUGGGGAAUAUUGGACAAUGGGGGCAACCCUGAUCCAGCAAUUCUGUGUGCACGAUGAAGGUUUUCGGAUUGUAAAGUGCUUUCAGCAGGGAAGAAAAAAAUGACGGUACCUGCAGAAGAAGCGACGGCUAAAUACGUGCCAGCAGCCGCGGUAAUACGUAUGUCGCAAGCGUUAUCCGGAUUUAUUGGGUUUAAAGGGAGCGUAGGCCGGAGAUUAAGUGUGUUGUGAAAUGUAGACGCUCAACGUCUGACUUGCAGCGCAUACUGGUUUCCUUGAGUACGCACAACGUUGGCGGAAUUCGUCGUGUAGCGGUGAAAUGCUUAGAUAUGACGAAGAACUCCGAUUGCGAAGGCAGCUGACGGGAGCGCAACUGACGCUUAAGCUCGAAGGUGCGGGUAUCGAACAGG
rnacentral:rRNA from 1 species